rnacentral:rRNA from 1 species
UACGAAGGGGGCUAGCGUUGCUCGGAAUCACUGGGCGUAAAGGGCGCGUAGGCGGCCAUUCAAGUCGGGGGUGAAAGCCUGUGGCUCAACCACAGAAUUGCCUUCGAUACUGUUUGGCUUGAGUAUGGCAGAGGUCAGUGGAACUGCGAGUGUAGAGGUGAAAUUCGUAGAUAUUCGCAAGAACACCAGUGGCGAAGGCGGCUGACUGGGCCAUUACUGACGCUGAGGCGCGAAAGCGUGGGGAGCGAUCCGG